CACUUAGUAGGAAAAUUUAUACUAAAUUUUGAAUGCCAAAACACUAGGAGAACAAAACCUCAAUAGGAAAGAUUAAUAUUCUGGUUGUGGACGGUUCGUGGCCCUAAUGGGAAAUGAUACAUCACUAUUGAGUCGUCGCUUGGAUGCCAACCAUUUGUCUGAUCCUAGACACACACACGUCACUGAUGGGCCAGCAAGGAUUAUGACACACCAUAGUUAUUUUCUGCAUCACUUCUCAAAUUAGUUGCAGGUUCUUCAAGGGGGUACGCAAAUAUAUUGUUUUUCUUUUGCAACACUCUUUUGGAUCAGUUUGCAUUCCUUUGAGUUUCGGUUAAUAAUGGUUUGAGUUGAACGGGACCAACCAAGCUCACUAUGAUCAUGUCAAACAAAAAGGAUGGCAAAGCUAUAUGCAUGUGAAUAUGUCCCACACAUUAAGAAGGCUUUUGGUGGUCUGGCAAUGUCAAGAGAAAAUGAUAGGUGCUCAUUGAACUGGGGCCUUCCAAAAGUAAAAGAUCCACUAUGGAAGGAUCACUUAAGUACCCAGGGAAUAAAAACACUAAAUGCUGCAUGACACAGCAAGAAACAACAGAUGGGCUAUGCCAGCUUCUACUCUAAAUCAUUAUUUCAGGCUUACAGCAUGCACUGCUAACAAGAGGUAUCUAUCAUAACUCAAAACAACAUGUUUGGCUUACUCCCUCCUUAGCAAGAGCUUAUAUUUCCUCAUGACAUCAGAGAUUGAAUUUCAGGACCAUCCAAUCUGCUAAUUUGUUUUUAGUUUGGGUGGAACCCAAUUAGUUCACAAAGGGAGCAAAAGCAAACUAGACAAACAGAUAGGAACAUGUCAUAAACCUCAAUCCAUAUCGAGUCAUCAAGAUAGCACGUGUGGCGAGAAUCACUAGACAACAAGACCCUGGUGUCAAGGAGAGAUCUGGAAUCUAGAGAGAGAGGCAUAUAUAGCUUGGGAUGAGAGAGCUUUCGAUGGGACAUACUAAAAUUCAUUCUUGCUAGCUUCCAGGACAACACAAGGCAACUAAACUUGGACACUGAAAUAUUAAUUCCUACUUUUGUACAAUCUAGAUAUGGCAGGUCAUACAUGAACCAUGAGUGGGUGCUACAAAGUAUCAUGGACUGUAAAGAAGUUAGCGGUGUGUAGGCCUGUAGGUUUUAAGUCUUUGAGAAGGUGGUAGUUACUUUUUCCUCCCAAAAUUUUCAAGCAGUAUAAAGAAUAAAAACAAAUAAUUUCCUCAAAAAAAAGAAUGAAAACAAAUAAAAUGAACCAAUGCAAAUUAUCUAAUUGUACGGAACUGUAAAGCAAAGGAAAACUGAGAGAGCAAUUGAUACCAGAUUGAUACACAGUUGAAUCCCCAGGAACUUACACAUCAUUAAAAGAUGAAGCUACAUUGUUAGGAGACAACCAUUGUUUAAGAAAUUACGUAUGUGUAAGGGAACUAUAGGGGGUGAUUAAUGUGUUAGUGACAAAUGUAUGACGAAACAUUGC
rnacentral:lncRNA from 1 species